rnacentral:rRNA from 1 species
GCACGGUUUUCGGACUGGUGGCGACCGGCGCACGGGUGCGUAACGCGUAUGCAACCUACCUAUUACUGGGGGAUAGCCCGGGGAAACUCGGAUUAAUACCCCAUAGCAUUAUAGAUUGGCAUCAUGAAAUAAUUAAAGAUUUAUUGGUAAUAGAUGGGCAUGCGUAAGAUUAGCUAGUUGGUGAGGUAACGGCUCACCAAGGCGACGAUCUUUAGGGGGUCUAAGAGGAUGAUCCCCCACACUGGUACUGAGAUACGGACCAGACUCCUACGGGAGGCAGCAGUAGGGAAUAUUGGUCAAUGGGCGAAAGCCUGAACCAGCCAUGCCGCGUGCAGGAAGACGGCCUUCUGGGUUGUAAACUGCUUUUAUAUAGGAAGAAAACGCCCUUGCGAGGGAAACUGACGGUACUAUAUGAAUAAGCACCGGCUAACUCCGUGCCAGCAGCCGCGGUAAUACGGAGGGUGCAAGCGUUGUCCGGAUUUAUUGGGUUUAAAGGGUACGUAGGCGGCUUUUUAAGUCAGUGGUGAAAUCCUGCAGCUUAACUGCAGAACUGCCAUUGAUACUGGAGAGCUUGAGUAUUGUUAAGGUAGGCGGAAUUGAUGGUGUAGCGGUGAAAUGCAUAGAUACCAUCAGGAACACCGAUUGCGAAGGCAGCUUACUGGGCAAUAACUGACGCUAAGGUACGAAAGCGUGGGGAGCGAACAGGAUUAGAUACCCUGGUAGUCCACGCCGUAAACGAUGAUCACUCGCUGUUGGCGAUACACUGUCAGCGGCCAAGCGAAAGCGUUAAGUGAUCCACCUGGGGAGUACGCUCGCAAGAGUGAAACUCAAA